rnacentral:rRNA from 1 species
AUUGAACGCUGGCGGCAGGCCUAACACAUGCAAGUCGAACGAGUGGCGGACGGGUGAGUAAGGUCUGGGAAACUGCCUGACGGAGGGGGAUAACGACUGGAAACGGUAGCUAAUACCGCAUACCAUCGGUUGUGGCCAGAUGGGAUUAGCUAGUAGGUGGGGUAACGGCUCACCAAGGCGACGAUCCCUAGCUGGUCUGAGAGGAUGAACGGCCACACUGGAACUGAGACACGGUCCAGACUCCUACGUGAGGCAGCAGUGGGGAAUAUUGGACAAUGGACGAAAGCCUGAUGCAGCCAUGCCGCGUGUAUGAAGAAGGCCUUCGGGUUGUAAAGUACUUUCAGCGGGGAGGCGUUACCCGCAGAGGAAGCACCGGCUAACUCCGUGCCAGCAGCCGCGGUAAUAC